rnacentral:rRNA from 1 species
GACGAACGCUGGCGGCGUGCUUAACACAUGCAAGUCGAACGGAGAUAUAUAAAUAGUUUACUAUGAAUAUAUUUUAGUGGCGGACGGGUGAGUAACACGUGGGCAACCUGCCUUAGAGUGGGGGAUAACAACGAGAAAUCGUUGCUAAUACCGCAUGAAAUUAGAUUAUCGCAUGAUAGUUUAAUGAAAGGAGAAAUCCGCUAAAAGAUGGGCCCGCGCCUGAUUAGCUAGUUGGUGAGGUAAAAGCUCACCAAGGCGACGAUCAGUGGCCGAUCUGAGAGGAUGACCGGCCACACUGGAACUGAGACACGGUCCAGACUCCUACGGGAGGCAGCAGUGGGGAAUAUUGCACAAUGGGGGAAACCCUGAUGCAGCAACGCCGCGUGGAGGAAGAAGGUUUUCGGAUUGUAAACUCCUGUCUUUUGGGACGAUAAUGACGGUACCAAAAGAGGAAGCCACGGCUAACUACGUG